rnacentral:rRNA from 1 species
CGCCACAAGAGGCCCAAAACAUGCCAGUCGAGCGAAUGGAUUAAGAGCUUGCUCUUAUGAAGUUAGCGGCGGACGGGUGAGAAAAAAAAGGGUAACCUGCCCAUAAGAUGGGAUAACUCCGGGAAACCGGGGCUAAUACCGGAUAACAUUUUGAACCGCAUGGUUCGAAAUUGAAAGGCGGCUUCGGCUGUCACUUAUGGAUGGACCCGCGUCGCAUUAGCUAGUUGGUGAGGUAACGGCUCACCAAGGCAACGAUGCGUAGCCGACCUGACAGGGUGAUCGGCCACACUGGGACUGAGACACGGCCCAGACUCCUACGGGAGGCAGCAGUAGGGAAUCUUCCGCAAUGGACGAAAGUCUGACGGAGCAACGCCGCGUGAGUGAUGAAGGCUUUCGGGUCGUAAAACUCUGUUGUUAGGGAAGAACAAGUGCUAGUUGAAUAAGCUGGCACCUUGACGGUACCUAACCAGAAAGCCACGGCUAACUACGUGCCAGCAACCCGCGGUAAUACGUAGGUGA